GGGGUUGUGGCUCAGUGGUAGAGCAUUUGCCUAGCACGUGCAAAGCCCUGGAUUCGAUCCUCAAUACCA
rnacentral:tRNA from 1 species